rnacentral:misc_RNA from 1 species
GGAAGGAUCAUUACCGGAGUUAGGGCACUCAGUGCCCCCCCCUCCCAACCUUUGUUUACCAAUCUUCUGUUGCUUUGGCGUGGCUGCACGCCAGAGAACCUACUCUAUUCUGUUUUGUAACUGCUGUCUGAGUAAUAUUUGAAUUAAUGAAAACUUUCAACAACGGAUCUCUUGGUUCCCGCAUCGAUGAAGAACGCAGCGAAAUGCGAUAAGUAAUGUGAAUUGCAGAAUUCAGUGAAUCAUCGAAUCUUUGAACGCACAUUGCGCCCUUGGGUAUUCCUAGGGGCAUGCCUGUUCGAGCGUCAUAAGCAAAACUCGAGCCAUUUUUGCUUGGUGUUGGGCUUGUCGUCACGUAUCCGUGGCGUGCCUGAAAGUUCAGGGCAGUUGCCUCUGGACCUCAAAGUGUAGUAGAAUUCUCGCUUGUUUUUCAGAAAGCAACUAGCCAGCCUCACAGGAGGUGCCAAAAGAGCAUAUUUGACCUCGGAUCAGGUAGGGACACCCGCUGAACUUAAGCAUAUCAAUAAGCGGAGGAAAAGAAACCAACAGGGAUUGCCUCAGUAACGGCGAGUGAAGCGGCAACAGCUCAAAUUUGAAAUCUGGUACCUUUGGUGCCCGAGUUGUAAUUUGCAGAGGAAGCUUCGGGUUUGGCCCCGGCCUAAGUGCCUUGGGACAGGUCGUCAUAGAGGGUGAGAACCCCGUAUGCGGCCGGAGGUCUACGCCCAUGUGAAGCCCCUUCGACGAGUCGAGUUGUUUGGGAAUGCAGCUCAAAAUGGGUGGUAAAUUUCAUCUAAAGCUAAAUAUUGGCGGGAGACCGAUAGCGCACAAGUAGAGUGAUCGAAAGAUGAAAAGCACUUUGGAAAGAGAGUAAAAAGUACGUGAAAUUGUUGAAAGGGAAGCGCUUGCAAUCAGACUUGCCCUCUGCUGAUCAACCGGUGUUCUCCACCGGUGCACUCAGUUGAGGUCAGGCCAGCAUCGGUUUGGGUGGUUGGAUAAGGUCCAUGGGAAUGUGGCUCCUCUCGGGGAGUGUUAUAGCCCAUGGAUAAUGUGACCUGCCUGGACCGAGGACCGCGCCUUGUGCUAGGAUGCUGGCGUAAUGGUUGUAAGCGACCCGUCUUGAAACACGGACCAAGGAGUCUAACAUCUAUGCGAGUGUUUGGGCGUUAAACCCAUGCGCGUAAUGAAAGUGAACGGAGAUGGGAACCCUCUGAGGGUGCACCAUCGACCGAUCCUGAUGUUCUCGGAUGGAUUUGAGUAAGAGCAUAGCUGUUGGGACCCGAAAGAUGGUGAACUAUGCCUGAAUAGGGUGAAGCCAGAGGAAACUCUGGUGGAGGCUCGCAGCGGUUCUGACGUGCAAAUCGAUCGUCAAAUUUGGGUAUAGGGGCGAAAGACUAAUCGAACCAUCUAGUAGCUGGUUCCUGC